UCGCCUAUUAAAGCGGUACGAGAGUUGGGUUCAGAACGUCGUGAGACAGUUCGGUCCCUAUCUGUUGUGGGCGGAGGAGAGUUGAGAGGGGCUUUCACUAGUACGAGAGGACUGUGAAGGACGGACCUCUAGUGUGCCGGUUGUCGCGCCAGCGGCAGCGCCGGGUAGCUAUGUUCGGUAGCGAUAAUCGCUGAAAGCAUCUAAGCGAGAAGCGUGCCUCAAGAUAAGCUCUCCCGUAGCAAUAUGCUACCUAAAGACCACUUGUAGACUACGAGUUUGAUAGGCUGGGUGUGGAAGGUCCGUAAGGGCCGUAGCUAACCAGUACUAAUCGGUCGUGCGGUUUAACAUC
rnacentral:rRNA from 1 species